rnacentral:rRNA from 1 species
CUACGGGGUGCUGCAGUGGGGAAUAUUGCACAAUGGGCGCAAGCCUGAUGCAGCCAUGCCGCGUGUAUGAAGAAGGCCUUCGGGUUGUAAAGUACUUUCAGCGGGGAGGAAGGGAGUAAAGUUAAUACCUUUGCUCAUUGACGUUACCCGCAGAAGAAGCACCGGCUAACUCCGUGCCAGCAGCCGCGGUAAUACGGAGGGUGCAAGCGUUAAUCGGAAUUACUGGGCGUAAAGCGCACGCAGGCGGUUUGUUAAGUCAGAUGUGAAAUCCCCGGGCUCAACCUGGGAACUGCAUCUGAUACUGGCAAGCUUGAGUCUCGUAGAGGGGGGUAGAAUUCCAGGUGUAGCGGUGAAAUGCGUAGAGAUCUGGAGGAAUACCAGUGGCGAAGGCGGCCCCCUGGACGAGGACUGACGCUCAGGUGCGAAAGCGUGGGGAGCAAACAGGAUUAGAUACCCUAGUAGUC